rnacentral:rRNA from 1 species
CCUACGGGAUGCAGCAGUGGGGAAUAUUGGACAAUGGGCGAAAGCCUGAUCCAGCAAUUCCGCGUGUGUGAAGAAGGCCUUCGGGUUGUAAAGCACUUUAGGUUGGGAAGAAAAGCUUCGGUGAAUAUCCGGAGUGUUGACGGUACCAACAGAAUAAGCACCGGCUAACUCUGUGCCAGCAGCCGCGGUAAUACAGAGGGUGCAAGCGUUAAUCGGAUUUACUGGGCGUAAAGCGUGCGCAGGUGGUUUCGUAAGUCGGAUGUGAAAGCCCCGGGCUCAACCUGGGAACUGCGUUCGAUACUGCGAGACUAGAGUUUGGUAGAGGGUGGCGGAAUUCCCGGUGUAGCGGUGAAAUGCGUAGAUAUCGGGAGGAACAUCAAUGGCGAAGGCAGCCACCUGGGCCUGAACUGACACUGAGGCACGAAAGCGUGGGUAGCAAACAGGAUUUAGAUACCCUGGUAGUCCACGCCGUUAAACGAUGAGACUUGACGUUGGUUCGUUUACGAUCGGUGUCGUAGUCUACGACGAUAAGUUACGUUCCGUCCGUCGGGUAGGGUACGGGUCCGGCCGACGGUUAGGUAACGUACGAACGGAAAGUUAGUACGGCGUGAGACGUGCCGACGGACGACGACCGACGGGAGGUAGGAGG